rnacentral:rRNA from 1 species
UACAGAGGUCCCAAGCGUUGUUCGGAUUCACUGGGCGUAAAGGGUGCGUAGGCGGUCGGGUAAGUCUGAUGUGAAAUCUCGGAGCUUAACUCCGAAACUGCAUUGGAUACUAUUCGGCUUGAGGAAUGGAGGGGAGACUGGAAUGCUCGGUGUAGCAGUGAAAUGCGUAGAUAUCGAGCGGAACACCAGUGGCGAAGGCGAGUCUCUGGACAUUUCCUGACGCUGAGGCACGAAAGCCAGGGGAGCAAACGGG